UACCAGCACCCCGAGUGGUCGGGACGAUUAUUGGGCCUAAAGCAUCCGUAGCCGGUCAUGCAAGUCUUCCGUUAAAUCCAGCCGCUCAACGGUUGGGCUGCGGAGGAUACUACGUGGCUAGGAGGCGGGAGAGGCAAGCGGUACUCAGUGGGUAGGGGUAAAAUCCUUUGAUCCAUUGAAGACCACCAGUGGCGAAGGCGGCUUGCCAGAACGCGCUCGACGGUGAGGGAUGAAAGCUGGGGGAGCAAAGCCGG
rnacentral:rRNA from 1 species